AAGCCUAUAUUCCUGCUGUAAAGUUGUACCCACAAAAGUGUAUCUGUCAGUGCGUGCCUCCUGUGGAGCACAUCACACCAGCCAGGUUAAGUGGGAUUCAAGGGCCCUCCAGGAAGGACGGCCUAGAUUUUGAUUCAACACUGACUGAGGAAGCAUCUGCAUAAAUGAGGUAGGGGAAGAGUUAAUUGUGAGUGGAGGGUGGGGUCAAUUAGAGGCGGAAAAAGAAAUCCAAUUCGUAUUGGUGUUAAUGAAAAAUAUGCUUUAACUUUUAUACAGAUAUGAAGCAUGGAGCUAAAUAUUACAAAUUACAGGUUGUGAGUCUAUGUCAGCUUUAUUA
rnacentral:lncRNA from 1 species